UCCGGUUUGGCACCGGCAGUCCCCCUAGAGUCCCCGGCAUAACCCGCUGGCAACUAGGGGCGGGGGUUGCGCUCGUUGCGGGACUUAACCCAACAUCUCACGACACGAGCUGACGACAGCCAUGCAGCACCUGUGCUGGCGCUCCGAAGAGGGCCCCGGCUUUCACCGGGGUUACGCCAGCAUGUCAAGCCCAGGUAAGGUUCUUCGCGUUGCGUCGAAUUAAACCACAUGCUCCACCGCUUGUGCGGGCCCCCGUCAAUUCCUUUGAGUUUCAGCCUUGCGGCCGUACUCCCCAGGCGGGGCACUUAAUGCGUUAGCGCCGGCACCCGGGGGGUCGCUCCCCCAGGCACCUAGUGCCCAUCGUUUACGGCGUGGACUAC
rnacentral:misc_RNA from 1 species